rnacentral:tRNA from 1 species
GCUCCAAUGGCGCAAUGGUGAGAGAUACAUCUGCUCUGUCACAUUUCGCGCAAUCUAACAGCAUCUUCAGGUAGCGCGCCAGACUUCUAAUCUGGAGGCUCUGGGUUCGAGUCCCAGUUGGAGUG